rnacentral:rRNA from 1 species
GAUGAACGCUGGCGGCGUGCCUAAUACAUGCAAGUCGAGCGAACAGACGAGGAGCUUGCUCCUCUGACGUUAGCGGCGGACGGGUGAGUAACACGUGGAUAACCUACCUAUAAGACUGGGAUAACUUCGGGAAACCGGAGCUAAUACCGGAUAAUAUAUUGAACCGCAUGGUUCAAUAGUGAAAGACGGUUUGCUGUCACUUAUAGAUGGAUCCGCGCCGCAUUAGCUAGUUGGUAAGGUAACGGCUUACCAAGGCAACGAUGCGUAGCCGACCUGAGAGGGUGAUCGGCCACACUGGAACUGAGACACGGUCCAGACUCCUACGGGAGGCAGCAGUAGGGAAUCUUCCGCAAUGGGCGAAAGCCUGACGGAGCAACGCCGCGUGAGUGAUGAAGGUCUUCGGAUCGUAGAACUCUGUUAUUAGGGAAGAACAAAUGUGUAAGUAACUAUGCACGUCUUGACGGUACCUAAUCAGAAAGCCACGGCUAACUACGUG